rnacentral:lncRNA from 1 species
AUCUUAUUUGGUUUGCGCCAUACAUGAGGUCCCAUUAUCUUGUAUCUUGGUAUCAUCUAAUGGUACUUUGGUUCCAUUAGUUUGUAUUUGGCCUUGUUCCUUUGUACAUUGGUCCCAUUUAUAUGUACCUUGUUCCAUAUAUUUGUACCUUUGUUCAAUGACUAGAUUUCAUCAUAUAUUUUCAAUGGUUCAUAUUCAAAGUUUGGUGGGUAUUGAAUUGGUACUGUAGUAUUUUCCAUAAGACAAAGUAAUGUGUUGAUGUGAUAAUGUCAUAUUAGUUGUCAGGUGAUAAAAUGGAUGGGGAGCAAAUAAAAAUGCACAAUUGAUUUGGUUAAAGGGUUAUAUUUUUCAUAUUCUUGUGUAGAAUCCUCAAUGGUCAUUAAAUUUGGCUCUCAACAUGGAAUAAUGGGUGAUAUGAUUGUGUUACUUCCAAAGAUAUGUAGAUUAUUUAGUUCCUUUUGGCGACUUCCAAUGCUGUGUGGAUUCCUUACUGCUUUUUUGUGACCAUACGUCAUUUGUCUUUCCUUUAUUUGAAAUACAAAUUAAUAUAUGCCAAGAAGAAGAAGCAUAAAAUGUGAAAACGUGAAGAAUUGCAACAAAUGUUUGUUCAACUUAUAUAAUUACUUGUAAAAGAAUCAGCUUGAUUAAAUGAGUUUUAGCUAUUCAAUUUUAGUUAAAUAUUUAGACCAUACGUCAUUUGUCUUUCCUUUAUUUGAAAUACAAAUUAAUAUAUGCCAAGAAGCAUAAAAUGUGAAAACGUGAAGAAUUGCAACAAAUGUUUGUUCAACUUAUAUAAUUACUUGUAAAGGAAUCAGCUUGAUUAAAUGAGUUUUAGCUAUUCAAUUUUAGUUAAAUAUUUAGAACAAGCUGUAGAAUCUUGAAGAAUCAUGCUAAGUGUUUGUCACAUACCCUCAAGUGGGCUUUGUAUUAGCUUGGUUGAAUGACUUUUGGUUGUUAGUUUAUCAUAAUCUUAUUUUCUUUUUAAAAUUCUACGGCACCAAUAAGAAUUUGAUUGUAAUUGAAUGGCUAAAACGUAUCCAAUUAGGAUGACUUUCUUUCUAUUGAUUAGUUGCCCUGUCAUAUGCUGGCUCCAAAUUAUUAAUUGCUAACAUAGCCUGACAACUAAGAACCAUACAAGAGGAGAUGAAACUCAACUUUAGCUAUUUGGAAUUAAGGUCCUCUCCUGAAAAUUCUCACUAGUUAGUGGCCAUUGAAUCCUACCUUGGCAUCCUAGGAAGAGUUAAUAAGAACUGUUUCCUCACAUAUAAACUAAUGUAAUAGACAUUAGAUUGAUUACAUGGGUUGCUAUUCAAUUUUGGUAAAAUAUGUUCAUGAGCUUGGAAAAUUAUGAAAAAACUAAAAAUUAAGCUUAUAUUUUCUGAACUAGAAGCUAAUCAUGUCAAGCAGCUCCUUUUAAUUCUUUUUUUUCUCAAUUAAAUGGGGGUACAUCAAAUGGUUGGUGCUUGUCCUUCUGAUGCUGACAUAGCAAAAUUUGAGACUUUUGAGGACUAUGAGUGAGGAGAUGAACUCUACAACUUCAAUAUGCUGAGGCCUUGUUUUCUGUUGUGGUUUGGAGGAAGGCCU